GGGCCGGUAGCUCAGUCGGUCAGAGCAAGGGCCUCAUAAGCCCGUGGUCGCGGGUUCGAGCCCCGCCCGGCCUACCA
rnacentral:tRNA from 1 species